GCUUAUGGGACGAAGGGAACACAGAGGUUCUUAUCUUCACAGACCGCGGUCGCCAAGGCGACCCUCGGGACGUGUCCCUAAGAACAAGCCGACCCAGAAUGUUUACUUCCAGCAAGUUCCAGGAGGCAGACAAUGGCGAGCCCGAACGGGCGAAGGAUAAAGAGCAGAGAGACACUGGCGAGGUUUUCUCGGUCGUCGGAGGAGACUUUGAUGUGCUCAGAUGCAUGGUGGGACGGGUCUAUAGACCCUGCUGGCAAGCGUGACCCAGAAGGGGCAAAGAACACAAUGCGACACCCCCCCCC